AUCCUGACCUCGUAGAUAAGUCUCCUGGCAAGGGGGUAGUACCCGUAGAAUGCUAAAAAUUAGCUCUUGAUCAUGUACUUCACUAUGAAAAUCUUUUUUAAAAAAUCUGUAUAAAAGGUCUUUAUAAAUCAAUUUUUAAAUAAUGGACAUCCACUAUGUGAUAUGUAACUGACUUUUGUUUUAUGUAUAGAGGUUAUAUUUCCCAAAUCUGACCCAGAUGAGUAUGGUACUCAGUUCAGACAUAGCUAGCAGCUGAUUUUCCCCUUCUCUCCUGACUGAAUUAUCAACUUCUUGUCUGAACUAAUGCAAAAACAAUCCAGCAGUGAGAGACCUGGAAUGAUAAAUGUGCUAGGUACACGAUGGAGAGGCGUUCAGUGUGGACUCCCACAAAGCAGAGUGUCUAGGAUGUGUGGGCCCAGUCACAUCAACGCUUCUUAAAAGGAAACAAGAACAAAACCACAUUUCUCUUAUGAGUAUAAUUUUCAUUAGGAUCUACACUUCCCAGUGCAGCAAGGAUGCUUGAAACGAUGAAAUGCCAAUGAUACCCAUCAUCAAAGACAAGCAAUCAAGGCCAGGCUUAAUGGCACAUGCCUUUAAUCCCAGCACUUGAGAGGCAGCGGCAACAGCAGACGAAUUUCUGAGUUCAGGGCCAGCCUGGUCUACUGCAGAGUGAGUUCCAGGACAGCCAGGAAUACAUAGAGAAACCCUGUCUCAAAAAAAAACCCAAAGCCAACCAACCAAACAAAAAGACAAGUAAUCAAAUUUAAGAACUAAAGUCCUCGAAAGAAAGAACUGCUUAGCCCUAGCUCUGGAGCUAGGGGGACUUGCUUGACAGAAAGAGGGCCAGCAACCUGUCCUAGCACAAAAGAAAAACAGCCUUUGAGGUAGAUAGCUGAUCAUACACAGCCAAUCACGCGCACAGUUUUGGAAAACAACAUUGCUUUUAAGAAAUUGUUUUGGGUUUGGAUUCAUGGCUCAGUACUUAAGAGCACUAGCUUAAUUCCCAGCACCCACAGGGCAGCUCACAAUCUACUGUAACUCAAAUUCUAGGAGAUCUGACAUCCUCACACCAAUGCACAUUAAAUAAAACAGUUAAAAAGUAUUAAAAAUUGCCUUAAUAAAAAAGUAACAGUGAAGUAUCUCAUGUUCUGAAGUAGAAAUAAUUAGGAAUGAGCAAUGUUUCAAAAUUGUUUUCUUUUUCUUUUCACUUGAACACUACAAACAUUAUGCAGCAAUGACAAAUAAAGUGUGGCACUGCUUG
rnacentral:lncRNA from 1 species